rnacentral:rRNA from 1 species
UACGGGGGGGGGCAAGCGUUGUUCGGAAUUACUGGGCGUAAAGGGCUCGUAGGCGGCCAACUAAGUCAGACGUGAAAUCCCUCGGCUUAACCGGGGAGCUGCAUCUGAUACUGGAUGGCUUGAGUUCGGGAGAGGGAUGCGGAAUUCCAGGUGUAGCGGUGAAAUGCGUAGAUAUCUGGAGGAACACCGGUGGCGAAGGCGGCAUCCUGGACCGGCACUGACGCUGAGGAGCGAAAGCCAGGGGAGCAAACGGG